rnacentral:rRNA from 1 species
UACGUAGGGUGCAAGCGUUAAUCGGAAUUACUGGGCGUAAAGCGUGCGCAGGCGGUUGUGCAAGACAGAUGUGAAAUCCCCGGGCUCAACCUGGGAACUGCAUUUGUGACUGCACAGCUUGAGUGCGGCAGAGGGGGAUGGAAUUCCGCGUGUAGCAGUGAAAUGCGUAGAUAUGCGGAGGAACACCGAUGGCGAAGGCAAUCCCCUGGGCCUGCACUGACGCUCAUGCACGAA